rnacentral:rRNA from 1 species
CUCCUACGGGAGGCAGCAGUGGGGAAUAUUGCACAAUGGGGGAAACCCUGAUGCAGCGACGCCGCGUGGAGGAAGAAGGUCUUCGGAUUGUAAACUCCUGUUGUUGAGGAAGAUAAUGACGGUACUCAACAAGGAAGUGACGGCUAACUACGUGCCAGCAGCCGCGGUAAAACGUAGGUCACAAGCGUUGUCCGGAAUUACUGGGUGUAAAGGGAGCGCAGGCGGGAGAACAAGUUGGAAGUGAAAUCCAUGGGCUCAACCCAUGAACUGCUUUCAAAACUGUUUUUCUUGAGUAGUGCAGAGGUAGGCGGAAUUCCCGGUGUAGCGGUGGAAUGCGUAGAUAUCGGGAGGAACACCAGUGGCGAAGGCGGCCUACUGGGCACCAACUGACGCUGAGGCUCGAAAGUGUGGGUAGCAAACAGGAUUAGAUACCCUGGUAGUCCACACCGUAAACGAUGAUUACUAGGUGUUGGAGGAUUGACCCCUUCAGUGCCGCAGUUAACACAAUAAGUAAUCCACCUGGGGAGUACGGCCGCAAGGUUGAAACUCAAAGGAAUUGACGGGGGCCCGCACAAGCAGUGGAGUAUGUGGUUUAAUUCGACGCAACGCGAAGAACCUUACCAAGUCUUGACAUCCCUUGACGAACAUAGAAAUAUGUUUUCUCUUCGGAGCAAGGAGACAGGUGGUGCAUGGUUGUCGUCAGCUCGUGUCGUGAGAUGUUGGGUUAAGUCCCGCAACGAGCGCAACCCUUAUGGUCAGUUACUACGCAAGAGGACUCUGGCCAGACUGCCGUUGACAAAACGGAGGAAGGUGGGGAUGACGUCAAAUCAUCAUGCCCUUUAUGACUUGGGCUACACACGUACUACAAUGGCGUUAAACAAAGAGAAGCAAGACCGCGAGGUGGAGCAAAACUCAGAAACAACGUCCCAGUUCGGACUGCAGGCUGCAACUCGCCUGCACGAAGUCGGAAUUGCUAGUAAUCGUGGAUCAGCAUGCCACGGUGAAUACGUUCCCGGGCCUUGUACACACCGC